GACGAACGCUGGCGGCGUGCUUAACACAUGCAAGUCGAACGGUGACCCAGGGCUUGCCCUGGUGAUCAGUGGCGAACGGGCGAGUAACACGUGGGCAACCUGCCCCUGACUUCGGGAUAACUCCUCGAAAGAGGAGCUAAUACCGGAUACGACCACUUCGGACAUCCGAUGGUGGUGGAAAGUUUUUCGGUCAGGGAUGGGCCCGCGGCCUAUCAGCUAGUUGGUGGGGUAAUGGCCUACCAAGGCGACGACGGGUAGCCGGCCUGAGAGGGCGACCGGCCACACUGGGACUGAGACACGGCCCAGACUCCUACGGGAGGCAGCAGUGGGGAAUAUUGCGCAAUGGGCGAAAGCCUGACGCAGCGACGCCGCGUGAGGGAUGAAGGGCCUUCGGGUUGGUAAACCUCUUUCAGCAGGGACGAAGACGAAAGUGACGGUACCUGCAGAAGAAGCACCGGCUAACUACGUGCCAGCAGCCGCGGUAAU
rnacentral:rRNA from 1 species